rnacentral:misc_RNA from 1 species
CGCACAUUGCGCCCCCUGGCAUUCCGGGGGGCAUGCCUGUCCGAGCGUCAUUGCUGCCCAUCAAGCCCGGCUUGUGUGUUGGGUCGUCGUCCCCCCCGGGGGACGGGCCCGAAAGGCAGCGGCGGCACCGUGUCCGGUCCUCGAGCGUAUGGGGCUUUGUCACCCGCUCGAUUAGGGCCGGCCGGGCGCCAGCCGACGUCUCCAACCAUUUUCUUCAGGUUGACCUCGGAUCAGGUAGGGAUACCCGCUGAACUUAA